CAUACAUUUAAAAACCAAAAACGGCAAACAUCAAGAGUAUUAUUCACGGAGGAGCAUAAAGAUCUGGUAAAAGAAGGAGCAACAUGGAUGAAGGAUAUAGCAACACAAUGCAUGGUGGUAGCAACAUUAAUCACUACGAUUAUGUUUGCAGCAGUGUUUACCAUACCAAGUUCAAAUAAGGGGAGUAGUUCUGAUAAUACGGGAGGAGAAGAACCCAAUUAUGUACAAGGCAAGUUUCCUAUAAUUUGUGUGGUAUCAAAUAUGUUAGCACUUUGUUCUUUAGUCGCUUCAAUGUUGAUGUUUCUAGCUAUUAUUACUUCACGAUAUGCGGAAGAAGACUUCUUGUCAACUUUGCCUCGAAUGUUGAUGUUGGGCCUUUUAUUUCUCUUCGUCUCUAUUGUGGGGAUGAUGAUAGAUUUUGUGGCAGCUAUCUUAUUUAUGCUUCGAUACGGUGUUCGUAUAUGGGUCUCCUUUCCAAUUAUCUUGCUAGCAAGUAUCCCAGUCACUCUAUAUGCUUUGGUGGAAUUUCCCCUAUUCAUACAAUUGAUGUUUACGACAUCCUCGUCAUAUAUCUUCGGGAAGAGAG